rnacentral:rRNA from 1 species
GAUGAACGCUGGCGGCGUGCCUAAUACAUGCAAGUCGAGCGAACGGACGAGAAGCUUGCUUCUCUGAUGUUAGCGGCGGACGGGUGAGUAACACGUGGAUAACCUACCUAUAAGACUGGGAUAACUUCGGGAAACCGGAGCUAAUACCGGAUAAUAUUUUGAACCGCAUGGUUCAAAAGUGAAAGACGGUCUUGCUGUCACUUAUAGAUGGAUCCGCGCUGCAUUAGCUAGUUGGUAAGGUAACGGCUUACCAAGGCAACGAUGCAUAGCCGACCUGAGAGGGUGAUCGGCCACACUGGAACUGAGACACGGUCCAGACUCCUACGGGAGGCAGCAGUAGGGAAUCUUCCGCAAUGGGCGAAAGCCUGACGGAGCAACGCCGCGUGAGUGAUGAAGGUCUUCGGAUCGUAAAACUCUGUUAUUAGGGAAGAACAUAUGUGUAAGUAACUGUGCACAUCUCGACGGUACCUAAUCAGAAAGCCACGGCUAACUACGUGCCAGCAGCCGCGGUAAUGCGUAGGUGGCAAGCGUUAUCCGGAAUUAUUGGGCGUAAAGCGCGCGUAGGCGGUUUUUUAAGUCUGAUGUGAAAGCCCACGGCUCAACCGUGGAGGGUCAUUGGAAACUGGAAAACUUGAGUGCAGAAGAGGAAAGUGGAAUUCCAUGUGUAGCGGUGAAAUGCGCAGAGAUAUGGAGGAACACCAGUGGCGAAGGCGACUUUCUGGUCUGUAACUGACGCUGAUGUGCGAAAGCGUGGGGAUCAAACAGGAUUAGAUACCCUGGUAGUCCACGCCGUAAACGAUGAGUGCUAAGUGUUAGGGGGUUUCCGCCCCUUAGUGCUGCAGCUAACGCAUUAAGCACUCCGCCUGGGGAGUACGACCGCAAGGUUGAAACUCAAAGGAAUUGACGGGGACCCGCACAAGCGGUGGAGCAUGUGGUUUAAUUCGAAGCAACGCGAAGAACCUUACCAAAUCUUGACAUCCUUUGACAACUCUAGAGAUAGAGCCUUCCCCUUCGGGGGACAAAGUGACAGGUGGCGCAUGGUUGUCGUCAGCUCGUGUCGUGAGAUGUUGGGUUAAGUCCCGCAACGAGCGCAACCCUUAAGCUUAGUUGCCAUCAUUAAGUUGGGCACUCUAAGUUGACUGCCGGUGACAAACCGGAGGAAGGUGGGGAUGACGUCAAAUCAUCAUGCCCCUUAUGAUUUGGGCUACACACGUGCUACAAUGGACAAUACAAAGGGCAGCGAAACCGCGAGGUCAAGCAAAUCCCAUAAAGUUGUUCUCAGUUCGGAUUGUAGUCUGCAACUCGACUACAUGAAGCUGGAAUCGCUAGUAAUCGUAGAUCAGCAUGCUACGGUGAAUACGUUCCCGGGUCU